CCCUAUUAGGGGAGUGAAAUAGAACCUGAAACUGCAUGCCUACAAUCAGUCGAAGCUCUUUUUAGAGUGACGGCGUACCUUUUGUAUAAUGGGUCAGUGACUUAAUUUAUAAAGCAAGCUUAAGCCAUCUAGGUGUAGGCGUAGCGAAAGCAAGUCUUAAUAGGGCGAUUAGUUUUAUGAAUUAGACCCGAAAACGAAUGAGCUUACCAUGAGCAGGUUGAAAGUUGGGUAACACCAACCGGAGGACCGAACCAGUUGACGUUGAAAAGUCUUUGGAUGACUUGUGGUAAGGGGUGAAAGGCCAACCAAAUUCGUAGAUAGCUGGUUUUCCGCGAAAACUAUUUAGGUAGUGCGAUGAAUAAAUAGACGUUUGGAGGUAGAGCACUAAAUGGGCUAGGGGGAAGAGAUUCUUACCAAACCUAAUAAAACUCCGAAUGCCAGACGUUGUUCUUCAUCAGACAGACUGUGGGUGCUAAGGUCCAUGGUCGAGAGGGAAAGAGCCCAGACCACCAGAUAAGGUCCCCAAAUUAUGAUUAAGUGUGAAAGGAUGUGGAAAUUCCUUAACAGCCGGGAGGUUGGCUUAGAAGCAGCCAUCCUUUAAAGAUAGCGUAACAGCUCACCGGUCUAAUAGAGUUUCUGCGCCGAAGAUGUAACGGGGCUAAAAUCAUAUACCGAAUCUGUGGGUUUAUAAAAUUUUCGAAUUUAUAAGCGGUAGCGGAACGUUCUGUAAGCCUGUGAAGGAGUACCCGUGAGGGACUCUGGAGGUAUCAGAAGUGCGAAUGCUGACAUAAGUAACGAUAAAAGAAGUGAAAAACUUCUUCGCCGAAAAUCCAAGGGUUUCUGCGCAAGGUUAAUCCGCGCAGAGUUAGUCGGCACCUAAGGCGAGGGCGAAAGCCGUAGUCGAUGGAAAUAAGGUUAAUAUUCCUUAACCAGAUGGUAGUGACGGAUCUUGUAAGUUGUGAGUUCUUAAUGGAUUGAACUUGCUGCGAAAAGGUUCCAAGAAAUAGCUCCAUCAUUAGACCGUACCCUAAACCGACACAGGUGGAUUAAUAGAGUAUAUUUAGGCGCUUGAGAGAAUGAUGUUGAAGGAACUCGGCAAAAUGCUUCCGUAACUUCGGGAUAAGGAAGACCUGUUUUUAGGCAACUAGAGAUGGGUGGCACAAGCCAGGGAGAAGCGACUGUUUAUCAAAAACACAGGGCUCUGCUAACACGUAAGUGGAUGUAUAGGGUCUGACGCCUGCCCGGUGCUGGAAGGUUAAUGCGGUUGGUGCAAGCUAACUUCUGAAGCCCCAGUAAACGGCGGCCGUAACUAUAACGGUCCUAAGGUAGCGAAAUUCCUUGUCGGGUAAGUUCCGACCUGCAUGAAUGGCGUAACGAUUUCUCCGCUGUCUCCAACAUCAACUCAGUGAAAUUGAAUUCUCCGUGAAGAUGCGGAGUUCGCGUAGUUAGACGGAAAGACCCCGUGCACCUUUACUGCAACUUUACAUUGGUGUUAGGAAAAACAUAUUUAGCAUAGGAGGGAGACAUUGAAGCAAAGGCGUCAGCUUUUGUGGAGUCACCAGUGAAAUACCUCUUUUGUUUUUCUUGAUAUCUAACUGAUUGCCGUCAUCCGGCAUCAAGACAUUGUAUGGUGGGUAGUUUGACUGGGGCGGUCGCCUCCCAAAUAGUAACGGA
rnacentral:rRNA from 1 species